AACGAACGCUGGCGGCGUGCUUAACACAUGCAAGUCGAACGCGAAAGGGGCUUCGGUCCUGAGUAGAGUGGCGCACGGGUGAGUAACGCGUAGAUAACCUGUCCUGGUGUCUGGAAUAAUAUCUCGAAAGGGGUGCUAAUACCGGAUAUUCUUGCUUUCUAUAAGGUAUGCAAGGAAAGGUGGCCUCUGGAACAAGCUACUGCACGAGGAGGGGUCGGCGUACCAUUAGCUAGUCGGUGGGGUAAUGGCCUACCUAGGCGACGAUGGUUAGCGGGUCUGGGAGGAUGAUCCGCCACACUGGUACUGGAACACGGACCAGACUCCUACGGGAGGCAGCAGUGAGGAAUAUUGCGCAAUGGGGGCAACCCUGACGCAGCGACGCCGCGUGAGUGGGGAAGGCCUUCGGGUCGUAAAGCUCUGUCAAAGGGGAAGAAGUGCAUGGUGGUUAAUAUCUGUCAUGUUUGACGGUACCCUUAAAGGAAGCACCGGCUAACUCCGUGCCAGCCGCCGGUAA
rnacentral:rRNA from 1 species